AGGCUUCCGGUUUGGCUCCACGCCAGCAACCCGUGCUGGAGCGGGGGUUGGGCUGGGGCCCGGAGGACACAAGCGGGGAAAGACAGUUGGGAGGUACCGAGCCGGGGUAAAAAAGUGGGCUGGGAAAUUUCUGGAACUGGGGAGACACGGAGGGCCACGCGUGGGCUGGGAUUUGGCCUGUGUCCCUGGGGUGGGGUUGCAUGGGGCAGAUGUGCAGGGGCGCCCAAUAGAAAGCUGUGUUUUGAGUUCUCACCCGGUUCUGCGGGCGCUGAAUUCCCCUGCAGGUGCUUGAUAGCCACUCACUGGCGCCCCGCCCACUGCCCUGGGAGCAAGCCCCUGCCUCCCUGCGGGAGGGGGUCGGUCUCCCGCUGUGGCUGCAGCCCCUGGCCUCACCUCAGCUCAGUGGACUGCCCUCCCAGCCCGGUCUGCUGCCUUCCCUCCGUGCCAGCUGCGUGUUCUGCGAAACCCUGGUUCCUCCAGCUGAGGCCCAGCAGCUCUCGUGGCGCCGAGCCUGCGCUCCCCAGCCAGCCAGCUGGAGCUUUCCCGGGCGGCUCAGAUCCUGUCUGCUUCCGCUCUCAUGGCCCUUGGGCUUUCGGAGGUCCUUGUAGUCACCUUCCGCCGCUGCAGGCCCCACUGUGUACCUGCGCGGGUGGGCGCCACAAGUGUGGGCGGGGUCUGGCUUCCAGUCCCGGGGAGCUGAGCCGUCGCGGACAGGGAUGCCUCAGCAGCAGAGAGAGAGGGGGCCGUCUUGGCCAAGGGCCUCCGUGGAGGGAGGCCGCGAGGAAGUGGGGGCUGCCUCAGCUCCCCGUCCUGCCAGCGCCUGAAGGUGGUGGUGAAGUCGAAGUGCUGACUUCUGUCUUGCUUUCUUCACUUUUUUAUAAACAUUUGUUUGGAAGGCGGGGAGUGAUUGAUCUUCCUUCUGCUGGUUCCCUCCACACACGCCUACAACAACUGGGGCUGGGCCAGGCCAAAGCCAGGAACCCAGAAUUCCAUCUGGGUCUCCCCUGUGGGUGA
rnacentral:lncRNA from 1 species